CUAACACAUGCAAGUCGAGCGGAAACGACACUAACAAUCCUUCGGGUGCGUUAAUGGGCGUCGAGCGGCGGACGGGUGAGUAAUGCCUAGGAAAUUGCCUUGAUGUGGGGGAUAACCAUUGGAAACGAUGGCUAAUACCGCAUAAUGCCUACGGGCCAAAGAGGGGGACCUUCGGGCCUCUCGCGUCAAGAUAUGCCUAGGUGGGAUUAGCUAGUUGGUGAGGUAAUGGCUCACCAAGGCGACGAUCCCUAGCUGGUCUGAGAGGAUGAUCAGCCACACUGGAACUGAGACACGGUCCAGACUCCUACGGGAGGCAGCAGUGGGGAAUAUUGCACAAUGGGCGAAAGCCUGAUGCAGCCAUGCCGCGUGUAUGAAGAAGGCCUUCGGGUUGUAAAGUACUUUCAGUUGUGAGGAAGGGGGUAACGUUAAUAGCGCUAUCUCUUGACGUUAGCAACAGAAGAAGCACCGGCUAACUCCGUGCCAGCAGCCGCGGUAAUACGGAGGGUGCGAGCGUUAAUCGGAAUUACUGGGCGUAAAGCGCACGCAGGUGGUUCAUUAAGUCAGAUGUGAAAGCCCGGGGCUCAACCUCGGAACUGCAUUUGAAACUGGUGAACUAGAGUACUGUAGAGGGGGGUAGAAUUUCAGGUGUAGCGGUGAAAUGCGUAGAGAUCUGAAGGAAUACCAGUGGCGAAGGCGGCCCCCUGGACAGAU
rnacentral:rRNA from 1 species